rnacentral:rRNA from 1 species
UGGUGGAGUGAUUUGUCUGGUUAAUUCCGAUAACGAACGAGACUCUAUCCUGCUAAAUAGUACUUACCCAAGAAACUGGGUGAGGUCACUUCUUAGAGGAACUAACGACUUUUAGUCGUAUGAAAGAGAGCAAUAACA